rnacentral:lncRNA from 1 species
GCUUGCAAGAAAGGCCUUUGUCUGAAAUUAUCUAUACUGGAUAUUAAAUGUAUCGAUUAAGGCUUAGCUAGCAGUUGAAGAGAGAUUACUUUCGAGCCAUUUGAAGACCCUUCCAGGAAUCUGAAAUUUUCUGAUGAAAGUGUACAUUACAUGGAUAGCUUUAUGUGAAGCAUGCGAUGUACCAUUCGGUCACAUGAACAACAUAAAAAUGCAGGGG